rnacentral:rRNA from 1 species
AAAGGUGUGCUAAUACCGCAUAAUCUCUGAGGAGAAAAGCAGGGGAUCGCAAGACCUUGCGCUUUUGGAGCGGCCGAUGCCUGAUUAGCUUGUUGGUAAGGUAAAAGCUUACCAAGGCUUCGAUCAGUAGCUGGUCUGAGAGGACGACCAGCCACACUGGGACUGAGACACGGCCCAGACUCCUACGGGAGGCAGCAGUGGGGAAUUUUGGACAAUGGGGGCAACCCUGAUCCAGCCAUGCCGCGUGAGUGAAGAAGGCCUUCGGGUUGUAAAGCUCUUUCAGCCGGAACGAAACGGUUACGGAUAACACCCGUGACUACUGACGGUACCGGAAGAAGAAGCACCGGCUAACUACGUGCCAGCAGCCGCGGUAAUACGUAGGGUGCGAGCGUUAAUCGGAAUUACUGGGCGUAAAGCGUGCGCAGGUGGUUUUGUAAGUCAGAUGUGAAAGCCCCGGGCUCAACCUGGGAACUGCGUUUGAAACUACAAGACUAGAGUGUGGCAGAGGGGGGUGGAAUUCCGCGUGUAGCAGUGAAAUGCGUAGAGAUGUGGAGGAACACCGAUGGCGAAGGCAGCCCCCUGGGUCAACACUGACGCUCAGGCACGAAAGCAUGGGGAGCAAACAGGAUUAGAUACCCUGGUAGUCCAUGCCCUAAACGAUGUCAACUAGUUGUCGGGCCUUUACGGGCUUGGUAACGUAGCUAACGCGUGAAGUUGACCGCCUGGGGAGUACGAUCGCAAGAUUAAAACUCAAAUGAAUUGACGGGGACCCGCACAAGCGGUGGAUUAUGUGGAUUAAUUCGAUGCAACGCGAAAAACCUUACCUACCCUUGACAUGUAUCGAAGCCCGCAGAAAAGCGGGGGUGCCCGAAAGGGAACGAUAACACAGGUGCUGCAUGGCUGUCGUCAGCUCGUGUCGUGAGAUGUUGGGUUAAGUCCCGCAACGAGCGCAACCCUUGUCAUUAAUUGCCAUCAUUUAGUUGGGCACUUUAAUGAGACUGCCGGUGACAAACCGGAGGAAGGUGGGGAUGACGUCAAGUCCUCAUGGCCCUUA